rnacentral:lncRNA from 1 species
GUAUCAUCAAGUUAGGGGCCAAAAUGUGAGAUAAUUGGAAGAAAUGCCUCUGUCGUCGUUAUCCUAAUCAUUUUCUCCUUUGCGCUGCAUUCCAGAUGAGCCUGGGCUGUGUCUCUUGGGAGAGCUUCGCCUUCACUGCUGGCCCAAAAGGAGUGAGCCAUCAAAUAUGCUCAGUACGAACUGGAAGAGCAGCACUGCCUGCGCAGCCAGGGCUCCUGACAGCAGUGGCUGAGUUGGCGUGGAGAAACUCUCGGAACCAAGGGAGAAGAAGGGCAGCCAAGCAUGCUCUGGCCCUUCUUGGGAAACUAAAAAUAAAUGAACUAAAAUGAAAAACUUGGAUGGAAAAGAGGGUGGGGGUGGGGGGCAGGAGGGACUGCCAUUUCACAUUCUGUGCUCCGUAUGGUGGUGACGUCAUCACUGAGUUCCCUGCUGCUCACACCCAGUCGCGGUGUGAAAUUUGAUUUUUACUGACUUUUCUAUCUCUUGACAAGAACAGAAAUAAUCACUUCUUUCAGAAAUUCUUGACCUUUGUAGAAAGAAAAGGCCUCCCUAAAUCCACUGCCCCCCCUCACCAAUAGAUACCCUGUGCUAACAGCCUGGUGUAUAGCCUGCAGGCUAGGUUUGUACACAGUCAUAUAAAUUAGAUCAUACAGGACGUAGUGUGUCCUCAAAUGGAUGUCUUGACAUCUUCGAUAUCUCUGCGCAUAGGCUUACAGAUAAUUUUUUAAUGGCUUUUCAAGACAGGGUUUCUCUGCAUAGCCCUGGCUGUCCUGGAACUCUCUCUCUCUCUCUCUCUCUCUCUCUCUCUCUCUCUCUCUCUGUAGACCAGGCUGGCCUUGAGCUCAGAAAUCCAGGUGCCUCUGCCUCCUGAGUGCUGUGGUUAAAGGCGUAUCCCACCACCUCUGGCUAGUCUUUUCAUUUUUAGUUAUGUGUAUUGUAUAGGUAUGUAUAUGUGUAUGUGUGUGGGUAUGUGUAUGUAUGCGGGUAUGUGUGUGGGUAUGUGUACAUGAGUGCAGGUGACAUGGCAGGCCAGAGGAAGCUGUCAGAUGUUCUUCAAGCUGGUGAUCAUGGAUGCUGAGAACUGAACUUGGGCCCUCUGUAAGAGUGGUGCAUGCCCUUGACCACUGAGCCGUCUUCCCAGUUCUAUGCUAUAGUCUUAAGGCUAAAGGCAUUAAUGCUGGUGUUCCAGAAGGAUGAUUGGGGCUGACAGGAUGAGAAGGAGUAAGGGGCUCAGGGAGGGGGAGACCAAAGAGCCUCAAAACCUAUCAUCCAAAGGCCUACAACCAGCAGAAUCCAUGGUGUAAAAUUGUAAUCUGGGUCUGAAGGCAA